rnacentral:rRNA from 1 species
UACGGAGGGUGCAAGCGUUAUCCGGAUUCACUGGGUUUAAAGGGUGCGUAGGCGGGUAAGUAAGUCCGUGGUGAAAUCUCUGAGCUUAACUCAGAAACUGCCGUGGAUACUAUUUGCCUUGAAUAUUGUGGAGGUGAGCGGAAUAUGUCAUGUAGCGGUGAAAUGCUUAGAUAUGACAUAGAACACCAAUUGCGUAGGCAGCUUACUACACGAUCAUUUGACGCUGAGGCA